rnacentral:lncRNA from 1 species
UUAAGGACAAAGAUGUUUUGUACCGAAAGUUUUCUUUUGUAUGUUUUGUUCGAUGACUGUUUCCCAUCUGUUUUCUUAUGGUAUUAUGUAAAAAUAUGUACAUGACAUGAUGUAAUAUGGUAUUAAUAGUAAAUUUUGUAAUUAUAUCUUUCAUGUUAUGUUAAGAGACAUUUUUGUAGUUUAUUUUCCUUACAAGAGACAAAAGGCAGAAACGGGACAGUUUCUGG